rnacentral:rRNA from 1 species
UACGUAGGCAGCAAGCGUUGUUCGGAAUUACUGGGCGUAAAGAGUGUGUAGGCGGUGCUCUAAGUUUGGUGUGAAAUCUCCCGGCUCAACUGGGAGGGUGCGCCGAAAACUGGAGUGCUUGAACAUGGGAGAGGAAAGCGGAAUUCCUGGUGUAGCGGUGAAAUGCGUAGAUAUCAGGAGGAACACCUGCGGUGUAGACGGCUUUCUGGACCAUUGUUGACGCUGAGACACGAAAGCGUGGGUAGCAAACAGG